rnacentral:tmRNA from 1 species
CAAAAAAGAAAGCGGAUAAGCAUGUAGAUUCUGCAACCGAAGGCUUUCGGACGUGGGUUCGAUUCCCACCGCCUCCACCA